UGUGGCUCAAUGGUAGAGCGCUCGCCUAGCACAUGAAAGGCCCUGGGUUCGAUCCUCAGCA
rnacentral:tRNA from 1 species